ACGAGCACGCGGCGCCGGGUCCCGGGCGGUGCUGCUCCGCGGUGGUGCAACACGUGGCGGCGCCCGCGUCGGCGGUGUGGUCCGUGGUGCGGCGGUUCGACCAGCCGCAGGCGUACAAGCGGUUCGUGCGCAGCUGCGCGCUGCUGGCGGGGGACGGCGGCGUGGGCACGCUCCGCGAGGUGCGCGUGGUGUCUGGCCUCCCCGCGGCGUCCAGCCGCGAGCGCCUGGAGGUCCUGGACGACGAGAGCCACGUGCUGAGCUUCCGCGUCGUCGGCGGCGAGCACCGGCUCCAGAACUACCUCUCCGUCACAACGGUCCACCCGUCCCCGGCCGCGCCCGACGCCGCCACCGUCGUCGUGGAGUCGUACGUGGUGGACGUGCCGCCGGGCAACACCCCGGAGGACACCCGCGUGUUCGUCGACACCAUCGUCAAGUG
rnacentral:lncRNA from 1 species